rnacentral:rRNA from 1 species
CCUACGGGUGGCAGCAGUGAGGAAUAUUGGUCAAUGGACGAGAGUCUGAACCAGCCAAGUAGCGUGAAGGAUGACUGCCCUAUGGGUUGUAAACUUCUUUUAUAUGGGAAUAAAAUGUUCCACGUGUGGGAUUUUGUAUGUACCAUAUGAAUAAGGAUCGGCUAACUCCGUGCCAGCAGCCGCGGUAAUACGGAGGAUCCGAGCGUUAUCCGGAUUUAUUGGGUUUAAAGGGAGCGUAGGUGGAUUGUUAAGUCAGUUGUGAAAGUUUGCGGCUCAACCGUAAAAUUGCAGUUGAAACUGGCAGUCUUGAGUACAGUAGAGGUGAGCGGAAUUCGUGGUGUAGCGGUGAAAUGCUUAGAUAUCACGAAGAACUCCAGUGGCGAAGGCAGUUCACUGGACUGCAACUGACACUGAGGCUCGAAAGUGUGGGUAUCAAACAGGAUUAGAUACCCGGGUAGUC